rnacentral:rRNA from 1 species
AGAGUUUGAUCAUGGCUCAGGACGAACGCUGGCGGCGUGCUUAACACAUGCAAGUCGAACGGAAAGGCCCUUCGGGGUGCUCGAGUGGCGAACGGGUGAGUAACACGUGGGUGAUCUGCCCUGCACUUUGGGAUAAGCCUGGGAAACUGGGUCUAAUACCGAAUAGGACUGCGCUCUUCAUGGGGUGUGGUGGAAAGCUUUUGCGGUGUGGGAUGGGCCCGCGGCCUAUCAGCUUGUUGGUGGGGUAAUGGCCUACCAAGGCGACGACGGGUAGCCGGCCUGAGAGGGUGACCGGCCACACUGGGACUGAGAUACGGCCCAGACUCCUACGGGAGGCAGCAGUGGGGAAUAUUGCACAAUGGGCGCAAGCCUGAUGCAGCGACGCCGCGUGAGGGAUGACGGCCUUCGGGUUGUAAACCUCUUUCAGCACAGACGAAGCGCGAGUGACGGUAUGUGCAGAAGAAGGACCGGCCAACUACGUGCCAGCAGCCGUGGUAAUACGUAGGGUCCGAGCGUUGUCCGGAAUUACUGGGCGUAAAGAGCUCGUAGGUGGUUUGUCGCGUUGUUCGUGAAAACUCACAGCUUAACUGUGGGCGUGCGGGCGAUACGGGCAGACUGGAGUACUGCAGGGGAGACUGGAAUUCCUGGUGUAGCGGUGGAAUGCGCAGAUAUCAGGAGGAACACCGGUGGCGAAGGCGGGUCUCUGGGCAGUAACUGACGCUGAGGAGCGAAAGCGUGGGGAGCGAACAGGAUUAGAUACCCUGGUAGUCCAA